AAAAGAUAUGCUUUAAUCAAGGCAUGGGAAGAAACUGAAAAGGCUAAAGUGCGAGAACAAGACUUACAAAAAGCUCUCUGCCCUUGGUUCAUGGGAAACAAACCAGAAAGCAGUUUUGGAAGCACAAAUAAGGCAACAUGAGGAAAAAUUAGAAAGGAAGAAAGUCGAAUUUGCAGAAAAAAUGAGGAACAAAAUAGCAGAGAUCCAAAAAGAAGCAGAGGAGAGAAAAACAAUGAUUGAAGCAAAGAGAGGCCAAGAAGCAAAGAGAGAAAAACAUUUACCGUCUACAGCUGGAAACCUAUUUUAGAAAAUAUUUUUCUAGUGUAAAUUUACACUAGAAAUAUUUUUAAUUGUAUUACAUUUUAUUGCGGCUUACCAACUAUACAAUAGUGAUGUAUCCGAACUGUACUUAAAUAUUUGAAUUUAACCAUGUUUUAUGGAAUAUUAGGAAAACAAAAGUUUGAGGAGCAA